GAUGAACGCUGGCGGCGUGCCUAAUACAUGCAAGUCGAGCGAACAGACGAUGAGCUUGCUCCUCUGACGUUAGCGGCGGACGGGUGAGUAACACGUGGAUCACCUACCUAUCAGACUGGGAUCACUUCGGGAAACCGGAGCUAAUACCGGAUAAUCUAUUGCACCACAUGGUUCAAUAGUGAAAGACGGUUUUGCUGUCACUUCUAGAUGGAUCCCCGCCGCAUUAGCUAGUUGGUAAGGUAACGGCUUACCAAGGCAACGAUGCGUAGCCGACUUGAGAGGGUGAUCGGCCACACUGGAACUGAGACACGGUCAAGACGCCUACGGGAGGCAGCAGUAGGGAAUCUGCCGCAAUGGGCGAAAGCCUGACGGAGCAACGCCGAGUGAGUGAUGAAGGUCUUCGGAUCGUAAAACUCGGUUAUUAGGGAAGAACAAAUGUGUAAGUAACUGUGCACGUAUUGACGGUAACUAAUCAGAAAGCCACGGCUAACUACGUG
rnacentral:rRNA from 1 species